GCCUUUGUGGUGUAGUGGUCAGCACGCUCGACGCAUAACCGAGAGGUCCGUGGUUCGAUUCCCGGCGAAGGCA
rnacentral:tRNA from 1 species